rnacentral:pre_miRNA from 1 species
UUUCGUGCGUGUUGCUCGGUGCCAGAAGGUCGAGAUUGGCGCAAUGCUGUCGUCCAUCCAGAUUGCACUAGUCCCGGCCUUCUGGCUCUGCUGCUCGUCUU